CGUUUAAUAGAUUUGUCUCAAGUAAAUAAAUGUACACAAUUCUGCCUGUCUGCAUAGCGGAGCAUCUGAGAAAAGACACAAAGGGCUGAAAGUGUGUUGUGGGACUCACGUCUCUGAGCUUUCAGCUUCCAGUACAGAUUGCACAGGCAGGUUGUCUGCCGCCGUCCAGGGAAGCGCGUGGAGGAGGGGGCGAAAAGUGGAGGUUGAAGCACAGGGCAUGGAUGAUUGAAAGACAAAUUGCACUGCUUUAGAGUUGCCAUCUCCAGAGACCACCUCAUGUAAAAUGUAUCCACUUUUUUCCCCUCCAAUACUAAUGUUUCCUUCUAUCCACCGCCUCUACAUUAUUGCUCUGUUUAAAAUCUUCUGUUUGUCAUCAUAUCUGUCAGUAAUUUUUACAUGCUUGCCUGCUGCGAGAACCGUAGCCUGCUAUAUAAAAACAUUUUUGCAGAAAAUAAAAAUACUGCUGGAUUUUA